rfam:Felis catus isolate Cinnamon breed Abyssinian chromosome C2, whole genome shotgun sequence.
GCCUGGGUGGCUCAGUUGGUUGAGCAUCUGACUUCGGCUCAGGUCAUGAUCACACGGUACGUGAGUUCGAGCCCCGCAUUGGGCU